UCUUCCCAUUUCGAACAGAGAAGUUAAGUCUAAUUGCGCAGAUGGUACUGCCAUUGGUGGGAGAGUAUGUCGCCGCCUUCU
rnacentral:rRNA from 1 species